GAUGGAUUUAAGUAGAGAUGCAAAUGGGUUAGUCCAUAGGUCGAACUUUAGAUUGCUUAAAUUUCUGCAUCACUGAAAUUUUUGAACUCCUCAAAUUAGUCCUGGCCCAUUUUCUUCUCUAAAUAUAGUAUGACUGCUUCUAUUGGAGAUAUUUCACCGAGCCAUGCAUCAUACAAGUGAAAACACAAAAUUAAUCUCCAUAUACACUUGCAUGAGUUAGUAACAAGUGGCGCUGCAUGUGCUUCGUUAUAAAAUAGAUGCGGAUGCAUGACCG
rnacentral:lncRNA from 1 species